rnacentral:rRNA from 1 species
UACGUAGGGGACAAGCGUUGUCCGGAUUUACUGGGCGUAAAGAGCGCGCAGGCGGUCGAUCAAGUCGAGUGUGAAAGCCCCCGGCUCAACUGGGGAGGGUCAUUCGAUACUGAUCGACUCGAAGGCAGGAGAGGGUAGUGGAAUUCCCGGUGUAGCGGUGAAAUGCGUAGAGAUGUGGAGGAACACCGAUGGCGAAGGCAGCCUUCUGGGCCAACACUGACGCUCAUGCACGAAAGCGUGGGGAGCAAACAGG